UAUUCGCCGCUCAGAUUUGUUGCCUAAAAACUUUGAAUCUUCACAAAAAAAUCACUAAUUUCUUGAUUUCAGUUAGCAUAUAAUCAUCUCAGCCCACUUCUUACUUUACCUCUUCAAUUUUUUUUUCAAUAUAUUUGAAGCGUAUAGUAUGAUGUGAAUUGCAGAUUGCUUUAAUACUCUUCAUAAGUUGCCAAAAAGUUCUCUUAAUUUAGUUUUGGGGUUAAUUUGUAUUGUGAGUUUUGAUUCAUCGUUUCUAUUGUUUGUUGGAGAAAAUUUAUCAAGAUUCAGCCCAAAGAUCUCGUCAUCAAAGGAGAAGCUGUGGUAUUUGAAGUGCAAAGAAGUGGAAAAUAAGAAGCUAAAAAGGCGGAGAAACGGCUUCAAGAAUUGGAGCAUUCAUCCUUUUGGAUUCUUUUGGUCACUGCAUGCUUAGUUUAGAAGACUCUUGAAGACAGCUAUACCAAGGUAUUACUCACAUCUUAUAUGCUACUAUUAAGCAAACUGAAGAAGGAAUCUUGAUCCAUGAACAAAAAUAUAUUAAGGAACUGAUCAAGAAAUACAAGCUUGACAAUGCAAAAACCAACCGAACCCCCAUGGGUGUUGCAACUAGAUUGGAUGAAGAUCUAUCUGGAACUUGUGUAGAUCAAACAUUGUAUAGAGGUAUGAUUGGUUCUCUACUUUUUACUUAAUAGCUAGUAGACCUAAUAUAUCUUUUAGUGUAGGUCUAUGUGACAGGUUCCAAGCAAAUCCAAAGGAGUCCCACUUGAUAGUAGUAAAGAGAAUCCUUCGAUAUUUGAAAGGAAUUGAUGACUUAAGUCUCUUCUAUCCUAGAAGUGAGUCUUUUGAUUUAAAUAGCUUUACUGAUGCUGAAUAUGCAGGUGAUUUGGUUAACAGAAAAAGUACUUCAGGUAAGGUACAGUUUUUGGGACCGUGUUUAGUUUCUUAGGGUUCCAAGAAGCAAAACAUAGUUGCAUUAUCUACAACUAAAGCUGAAUAUAUGGCAGAAGCAGCAUGUUGUUCACAAAUCAUAUGGAUAAAGCAAUAGGUUAGAGAUUUUGGAAUCAUAUUUGAAUGCGUUCUUAUUUAUUAUGACAAUACCAGUGCUAUAUGUAUUUCUAAGGAUCCAGUUCAACACUCAAAGGUAAAACACAUUCACAUUAGGCAUAACUUUCUAAAAGAUAACGUGGAGUAAGGAAAUAUCAAGUUAAAAUUUUGUCAAACUAAAAAUCAAAUUGCAGAUAUUCUGACCAAGCCCUUGAACAGUGAAAGAUUUGAGAAAUUGAGACUAGAACUGGGAUGAUCAAGCCGAAUUAAUUGCUUGUGAAGUUCCAAGAUAUGGAAAAAUUAAAAAUAGUGUAAAUAGAGUAAAAAGAGAAUCUAGUACAAAUUUGGUGUGCUAAACAUAGCUGAAGUGUCACCAUUGAAGAGCUUCAAGAGGUUAGUUCACAAAACACUUGAUUAAUUACAUUAGUAGUAAUGUACACUGUAUAUGUGUUGAAAGUGUGUUCCAAAUAAGCUAUUUUCUAAAAAAGCGUGUUUUUGGAAAAUUCAUGGAAUUUGGAAAUAAAAUAAAUUUGGUAAAAUUCAUCCAGCCUAUUUUUGUUAAAUUGUUUUGAUAAAUUUUUUUCAAUUAAUGACUGCACAAUAACUCAUUCAUAUCCUUUACACAGCUUCAAUUAUUAUAAAAGCAUCUCUCACCUAACUUUCUACCACACUGUAAAAUCAAUUAAAACCCGAUCAGUAAAAACCCAUUUGUAGGGAAUGAUUUCAAGCAUUAACCCCUAGCUUGAACCCCACUGUGAUCAUACACUAAAGUACGGUGGCGUCCAAAAGGG